AUUGAACGCUGGCGGCAGGCCUAACACAUGCAAGUCGAGCGGAUGAAGGGAGCUUGCUCCUGGAUUCAGCGGCGGACGGGUGAGUAAUGCCUAGGAAUCUGCCUGGUAGUGGGGAUAACGUCCGGAAACGGGCGCUAAUACCGCAUACGUCCUGAGGGAGAAAGUGGGGGAUCUUCGGACCUCACGCUAUCAGAUGAGCCUAGGUCGGAUUAGCUAGUUGGCGGGGUAAAGGCCUACCAAGGCGACGAUCCGUAACUGGUCUGAGAGGAUGAUCAGUCACACUGGAACUGAGACACGGUCCAGACUCCUACGGGAGGCAGCAGUGGGGAAUAUUGGACAAUGGGCGAAAGCCUGAUCCAGCCAUGCCGCGUGUGUGAAGAAGGUCUUCGGAUUGUAAAGCACUUUAAGUUGGGAGGAAGGGCAGUAAGUUAAUACCUUGCUGUUUUGACGUUACCAACAGAAUAAGCACCGGCUAACUUCGUG
rnacentral:rRNA from 1 species